UCUGAUUUUGAGGUUACUGUUCAAUUAAGGACAAAAGAAAGGAAAUCUUGCAUAUUAGUCCCUCCAAGUUUGGAUAUUGCAAACAAGUCCCUUAGAAGCUGGUUUUCUUUGCACAAACAGGAAGAUACCCAGGAAGAAAGUGACCAGAGGAUUGAGCAACUUGUUGGAGAGAUCAAGGAGAAGUUCCGCGCGAUGAACGACGGCGAGACGAGCCCUUCGGCAUACGACACUGCAUGGGUGGCUCGUGUUCCGUCGGUCGACGGCGGCGCGGAUAAGCCUCAUUUCCCCAUGUGUGUGGAUUGGAUUCUCAGGAACCAAAUUGAGGAUGGCUCCUGGGGGGAGCCCAGCUUCUACUUGCUCUAUGAUAGGCUUGUGAACACUCUAGCUUGUGUUCUUGCACUUGAGACUUGGAAAAUAGGACAAGAUCAAAUAGAGAAAGGUAAAGAUUAUUAUCCAUGCAAGCAUCUUAAUCUUACUUAUACAAAAUGGACAACAAAUCUAGUUAAUAUUCUUGAGAAUGAUUAUUCAAGGGGUCUAAUAAUAUAGGUAACAAAAUUUGAGGGACUAAUGUGCAAUAUCCGAAGAUUCUAGGGACUGAUACGCAAAAAAAAAUCUACAUGCUUUUUCCGCGUAAACUUCAAAGGCUAGAUUACACUUUUGGUCCUCAUACUAUGAGGCACGUAAAAUUAUUGGUCCAUAAACUUUAAUUUGUUGCAAUUUCUAACUAAAACUUUGUAACUUGUUGUUAUUGAUGUUCCACUGAUGUGGAAGUGAUCUCUACAUCAUUUCUACAUUACUGACACAUCAAUACUUAACCAACUAAAUUGUGCUAUAAAAAUUAAUUGCAACAAUUUACAAAGUUUGAGCCAGAAAUUAAGUUUGAGGACCAAAGUGUCAGCCGAGUCAUAGGUUGAGGACCAAAAGUGUAAUUUAGCCAACUUCAAACAACAGUCAAAUGAUUUGAACAGUAUAAUCUACUUAGCAUUUACCUAAAGACAUAGUAUAAUAUUUCUCUUUGUAAAAUUGUAGAGCAAAUAUAUCAACAUAUGCCAAAAUUGAAAAAAAGGAAAAAAAAAAUGCAUUCCUUUUGAAGGGCAUUAACAAGAACCCUCUUAUUCUUUGUAUUUUGAUGAAUUUAGGACUUCAAUAUUUGCGCGAUAACGUCAAGUUUCUCGACGAGCAAAGCAGCAGCCUCAUCACAUGCGGGUUCGAGCUCGUGUUCCCCGCGAUGCUAAACGAAGCCAAAAUGCUCGGGCUCGAUCUCCCUUACAACCUGCCUUGUUUGCAGGACAUCGUCAAAUUCGCGGAAAAGAAAAUCAAAAGGUGAGAACACUAAACUGAUUCAUAUCGCGAAAAACGUAAAAACGCAGUUCAAACUACAGGCCGGUUUUCUGGAACAAUGUUCAUAAAUUUUAACUUUUCAGAUUUUCAGAAAAAAUGAUGUCAACUUCUGUCACAACAUUACAGAAUGUCGUAGUAAGUUUCAGAAUAUACGGCCAUGAAAUUCUGACGAUGUUUUUCAAUCAAACAGCAUGUUAGUUGAGGCAGUUGAAAUACAAAAGAUCAAGAAUUUUGUAUAUAUAUAUAUAGAGAGAGAGGUCGAAAACUGUAAAUAGUGAGCAAGAGUACUUUUCCUACAAUAACAACAAAUAAUUUCUACCAGGAUUCCGCUUGACGUGAUGCAUUCGGUGCACACGACGAUGCUCUACAAUUUAGAAGCACUUCAAGAGGUGGUGCAGUGGGAGAGAAUCCUUAAGCUGCAGUCACGAGACGGGAGCUUCCUGAGCUCUCCGGCGUCCAC
rnacentral:lncRNA from 1 species